GGCCUCCCAAUUCUUAUCACAAGCUGUGUUCUUUAUACACUACUGUAUAAAAUGAGAAGGUACAGUAAAUGCACCCCAUAUACGCCUCAACCCAGGUUUUUUGACUGGUCUGUAUUGUGAAUUGGGGGACAAAA